AUUGAACGCUGGCGGCAUGCCUUACACAUGCAAGUCGAACGGCAGCACGGAGCUUGCUCUGGUGGCGAGUGGCGAACGGGUGAGUAAUAUAUCGGAACGUACCCUAGAGUGGGGGAUAACGUAGCGAAAGUUACGCUAAUACCGCAUACGAUCUAAGGAUGAAAGUGGGGGAUCGCAAGACCUCAUGCUCGUGGAGCGGCCGAUAUCUGAUUAGCUAGUUGGUAGGGUAAAAGCCUACCAAGGCAUCGAUCAGUAGCUGGUCUGAGAGGACGACCAGCCACACUGGAACUGAGACACGGUCCAGACUCCUACGGGAGGCAGCAGUGGGGAAUUUUGGACAGUGGGCGAAAGCCUGAUCCAGCAAUGCCGCGUGAGUGAAGAAGGCCUUCGGGUUGUAAAGCUCUUUUGUCAGGGAAGAAACGGUGAAAGCUAAUAUCUUUUGCUAAUGACGGUACCUGAAGAAUAAGCACCGGCUAACUACGUGCCAGCAGCCGCGGUAAUACGUAGGGUGCAAGCGUUAAUCGGAAUUACUGGGCGUAAAGCGUGCGCAGGCGGUUUUGUAAGUCUGAUGUGAAAUCCCCGGGCUCAACCUGGGAAUUGCAUUGGAGACUGCAAGGCUAGAAUCUGGCAGAGGGGGGUAGAAUUCCACGUGUAGCAGUGAAAUGCGUAGAUAUGUGGAGGAACACCGAUGGCGAAGGCAGCCCCCUGGGUCAAGAUUGACGCUCAUGCACGAAAGCGUGGGGAGCAAACAGGAUUAGAUACCCUGGUAGUCCACGCCCUAAACGAUGUCUACUAGUUGUCGGGUCUUAAUUGACUUGGUAACGCAGCUAACGCGUGAAGUAGACCGCCUGGGGAGUACGGUCGCAAGAUUAAAACUCAAAGGAAUUGACGGGGACCCGCACAAGCGGUGGAUGAUGUGGAUUAAUUCGAUGCAACGCGAAAAACCUUACCUACCCUUGACAUGGCUGGAAUCCUUGAGAGAUCAGGGAGUGCUCGAAAGAGAACCAGUACACAGGUGCUGCAUGGCUGUCGUCAGCUCGUGUCGUGAGAUGUUGGGUUAAGUCCCGCAACGAGCGCAACCCUUGUCAUUAGUUGCUACGAAAGGGCACUCUAAUGAGACUGCCGGUGACAAACCGGAGGAAGGUGGGGAUGACGUCAAGUCCUCAUGGCCCUUAUGGGUAGGGCUUCACACGUCAUACAAUGGUACAUACAGAGCGCCGCCAACCCGCGAGGGGGAGCUAAUCGCAGAAAGUGUAUCGUAGUCCGGAUUGUAGUCUGCAACUCGACUGCAUGAAGUUGGAAUCGCUAGUAAUCGCGGAUCAGCAUGUCGCGGUGAAUACGUUCCCGGGUCU
rnacentral:rRNA from 1 species